CACGUAGGGUGCGAGCGUUGUCCGGAAUUAUUGGGCGUAAAGCGCACGUAGGCGGCUUUGCAAGUCCCAUGUGAAAUCCCACGGCUCAACCGUGGAAGUGCAUGGGAAACUGCAGAGCUUGAGUACUUAAGAGGAUCGCGGAAUUCCCGGUGUAGAGGUGAAAUUCGUAGAUAUCGGGAGGAACACCAGUGGCGAAGGCGGCGAUCUGGGAAGAUACUGACGCUGAGGUGCGAAAGCGUGGGGAGCAAACAGG
rnacentral:rRNA from 1 species